CCUGCUCCCUGCAUUUCUGGCUGAUUUCCACCUGGCCUGGAAGGGCGGGGCCCUGUCUCUCUCUAGCUACAAAAGCAGCAGCUGCUGAAGGGGCCAGAGACCAUCUACCUGUUUCCAGAUUUUCAGGAAGCUGUCCCAAGAGCCGGUAGCCACAGCCAUACCAUCUGCAGUUACUCCCAAGCAGCUCACCCGGUUGUCAUGUCCAGACAGGAUUCCUGAAGGAGAGUCCCAGAUGUUGCAGUUGAAGUCAUCAUAUCCAGCCAGUAGGAGGCGCCCACUGCGGGAGAAUGCAACUGAGCUCUGGUGAUGAUGGUCUUGGCCACUUGAGGAAAACAUACAUUGAUGGCAUUGAUAUCGGACUCAUGUCCUGAGAACGUCUGGCGGCAGGUGCCCUCACGGACAUCCCACAGCUUGGCAGUGGCAUCGCAAGCUCCAGAGAUGAAGAGAUUGAAGUCUGGGGAAACGGCCAGGCUCAUGCAAUCCCCAGUGUGACCCAAGAACACGGUCUUCUGCUGUCCUGUCUCAAUGUCCCAGAGGGCGCUGUAGUGAGAGAAGAGAGAGGAAUGCAGCGCUGUCACUGUCCUUCUGAUCACAGGCUCACUUAGUCUCCAGGAACUUUCCAUUGGGGUCCCAAUUUAGCCCCCAACUUAAACUCCUCUCUUACUGUGUCCCUCACCCACUUUGAUAUAACUUUAUAGGAAACCUGUAAUUGCAAAUCAAUGGACUAGGAACCUUAAAGAUCGGCUGGUUCACACUGACCCACAUAUUUAGGUCUCAGUUCAACAGCCUCCUUUGUCUGGACUCGAGCAUUGGCCCUCAUGGGCACCAUCUGUGUGGUGGCCAUUGGAUCUACAGCAAAUACACCGACAGGAUGCAUUCGUUCAACAAUUCUGUCAACUACAGGGUGUAUAUAUAGUUUUUCUAAAAAAACCUUUUACCACUUGCAGCAGCAGUCAUCUGCCCUAUGCCAUCAAAUGCUUAUAUGGAAAAAAAGAUGAAGGGUUUGUCCAUACUGGAGUUUAAUAUGGAUUUGAAACUGCGUGUUUCUGUAGCGCGUGCGUGUGUGUGUGUGAGAGAGAGAUGUCUACAUUAUGUCCAAGUGGCAGCCUCCCCACACACUAAAUUUGGCAUGUUACCUGACUGUGCACACUGAAAUGCAUUAUGUUGCUGGGCUUUUGUUUUACUUGCGUGGUGACAUUUUGCUGGGUGCUGACUAUUGCCACACCCCCUACCUCCAUCUUGUUUGCAUCCACUCAGAAGAAAGGAUGCAGCCUGCCCUUUUCCACUGCUUGUUGCUGAAGGCAUGUUCACAGUAUUUUUAUCUUUAUUUCAUAUUUAUUUAGUAUGAGAUUAUGAGACAUAAUGUUAUUCCAUUUCCUGUGUAUAUACGUAUUUCAUAUAUUUAUAGCGCUCCUGAAGGAGGAUUAUUCUGAAACACAUUCGGCUUGAAAUAAUUUUUUCUUCAGGCGCCUGCAGUUCCUGCCUUUCUCCCACGGAUGGAUAGAUACAGUGAAGACUGUUGGCUCUGAUGUCAGCGGGGCAGCCAA